rnacentral:rRNA from 12 species
CCUGCACGAAUGGCGUAACGAUGGGGGCGCUGUCUCUACCCGAGACUCAGUGAAAUUGAAAUCGCCGUGAAGAUGCGGUGUAUCCGCGGCUAGACGGAAAGACCCCGUGAACCUUUACUAUAGCUUCACAGUGAACUUUGAGCAUGUUUGUGUAGGAUAGCUGGGAGGCUUUGAAACCAGGACGCCAGUUCUGGUGGAGCCAACCUUGAAAUACCAGCCUGACCUGUUUGAGGUUCUAACUUCGACCCCUUAUCGGGGUUAAGGACACUGUGUGGUGGGUAGUUUGACUGGGGCGGUCGCCUCCCAAAGAGUAACGGAGGCGCGCGAAGGUUGGCUCAGAGCGGUCGGAAAUCGCUCGUUGAGUGCAAUGGCAGAAGCCAGCCUGACUGCGAGACUGACAAGUCGAGCAGAGUCGAAAGACGGCCAUAGUGAUCCGGUGGUACCGCGUGGAAGGGCCAUCGC